GCUACAGGCUUAACACAUGCAAGUCGAGGGGCAGCGGGAUUGAAGCUUGCUUCAAUUGCCGGCGACCGGCGCACGGGUGAGUAACGCGUAUCCAACCUUCCGCUUACUCGGGAAUAGCCUUUCGAAAGAAAGAUUAAUGCCCGAUGGUAUCUUAAGCACACAUGUAAAUAAGAUUAAAGAUUGAUCGGUAAGCGAUGGGGAUGCGUUCCAUUAGGUAGUAGGCGGGGUAACGGCCCACCUAGCCGACGAUGGAUAGGGGUUCUGAGAGGAAGGUCCCCCACAUUGGAACUGAGACACGGUCCAAACUCCUACGGGAGGCAGCAGUGAGGAAUAUUGGUCAAUGGGCGAGAGCCUGAACCAGCCAAGUAGCGUGAAGGAUGACGG
rnacentral:rRNA from 1 species